CCAGUAAUUGCAUCACGGAGAAAGCCUCAGCUCGUCUAUUGCAGCCAAUAAUCAUCAUGGCGUCGUCAUCGUCCCAAAAUAACAAUCAAACAUUGAAAAGCAUCAUACAGAAGGAAUGGAAAAAUGAGAAGAAUUGGUUUUCAUUCAGGUACGGGUAAUUUGCCGUAAAAUGAUUUGGCGAUACAAAAUCGACAAAGCUACUUCCAGCGGAGCCAGAGCAACUUACGAGGGACUCAAACAGCAACUGCAAAUGAAGAUAACAUACGAAGAUGUCAUUGAUGCUUUGAGAUCUGAGCCAAAUUAUCUCAUGCAUGUUCAGGCACGGCGGUGUUGGCCUACAAGGCCCAUGUUGGUCCAUGGAUCACUGUCGGUUUUUCAGGAAAGUCAAUGGCUAUCUAUUAGAACAAUUGUCAACAUAUUUUGUUCGUAUGAAGACUUUUGAACAAACCGGUUUUCAUUUUCAACAUUAGGCAGACGUUGGGUUUAUGCCUGAAUACAACGGCUACACUAUGUUCCUUUCCGGUGAGGAUAUACAUGGAUAAAGAUGCCAGUGACUUGACUCUCCGACUUUUGUUCUAGUUGGGGACGUUUUUUCCAAAAUGAUCGCUGCUAGGUCCAUUCUCCGAAAAGAUUUGUCAACUAUAAAAAGAGCGUUUUUGUCCAUUUUCAAACAAUUGGGUCAACCAGAUCAACUUCACCUUGAUCAAGGCAGUGAAUUUUCCUUAAAAACUUGGCUUAAUGACCGAGGCAUUUAUCUCAGUGUGAAAACUGCGCCUUUUAUAAAGAACAGCUCAUCAAAGCCAACAAACCCGAAGAUGAUGCUUUUUACGCCGUCGAAAAAAUCAUCAGAAGAACCAGCAGCAAGACUCUGGUGAAGUUUCAAGGGUACAGAAAGAAUGUUUGGAUCCCCAAUGAAGAUUUUGAAACUGGACCAGAUGACCUGAACCUACCAACUCAAGGCUGACUCUCGAACAAGAAGCUUGUGAACAAGGACGGAGGAUUCUGUUUGUUUGCACAACUCGGACACAUGGCUUGUAUUUUAAGAUUUCACAAAAUGGGGGAUUCGACGAUAAGCACACCCGUUUUGGAACCCCGAUCUGCACAACUUUACACUUGUAUGAUCCGUGAUUUGUCUCGAAUGAAUCAGCCACCAUUACUUCUAGAAGAAAUAUUUUUGAAAAUGCAAUGGUCAGAAGGAAACGGACAACCAUGAUACUCGAACUUUGAAAUCAAAGUGAGAAAUAAACGGCCAAAUUCAACCGAUUUCAACGAAACUUCUGGUGCUCAACAAAAAUUAACCCUUAUCGCUCUGAUAGAUUAGUUAAAACUCGAAACUUCUCACCCAGUAGCUUGUUACUCUCCCCUAGUUGAGGCAUUACAUGGCAAUGUGGAGAGUUACGCGUCUGAUUGAUUCAAGAUAUACUAUCCAUUCUUUGCGGGUCUGGAACGUCUCAAAGGCACGAUACCUUGGGUGGAUAGAUGACAUGUUUAUUUAUUUUUCCGUAAUCGUUUGCUUCGUCUCGGUGUGUGUGAUGUUGCUGUUG